GGGAGCGUCUCCAUCCUUCUUUCUCGGUGCAGCUUGCGGAGUGCGCGGCGGCCGGCGGGAGCAAGGUGCCUGUGGCUGAGUUGGAACCGAGCUGAUCCAGGUACCAGAGCCCACCAAGUCGCUGUGACUCUGAGCAGCCAGAUGGAGUGGCCUAGAUGACCUGGCAUAGAUGAAGUGACAUAAAAGGAGUGACAUAGAUCAAAUGGCAUAAAUCCAUAGUAGCAUAGAUGGUCUUCCAUUUCAGGAACAAAUCGUAGCUUAAAAAGUUGAUGAAGCCUUUUCUAUGGACUUUCGUUAUUGAAAACCUCUGGGUUCAUUCCAAAGGGAUAGCUGACUUUGUACUGGUCUUCCUUAGUUCCCCCUGACAAGAACAUCAUGGGGUUUCUAAAAAUACAAACCAUUGAAAGG
ensembl:antisense Gm42532 predicted gene 42532